UUUGUGAGAAUAUAUUUAUAUAUUGUUUUCUUGUAUUGAACUUUUAAUAGCAUGUUAGAAGCAAAUAAUUUUUUAUAAGAUACCAUAAUGUAUACCAUGUCAGAGAAGCUUACCCUACAUCCAGCAAGGGGGCUUCUUGUGAUUUUUCAAGCAGCUUUGGCUUAGAUUUUAAACCUCUCUGGUCUGUACCAAAAAGAUGUGGUUUGUGAUUACAACCAUCUGUCUGUCAGCUAAGUUCAUUCCCUUACCCUGUGCUGAUAGCCUGCCUAGUGGGAAAAUACCACACCUUUGUUGAAGUCACAGGGAGCCAAGGCCACGCUGAGGCUUGCAUGGCUGAAGUGGUGAAUGCCACUGCCCUGGUUCCCUGUCCACCUUCUUUUUGCAACCUUUUGUGCAUGCAGCUGUGGCAGGUGACUGCAGAAAUGCAUCUGUGCUGAAGUUACAAGUUUACAGACCAGAACCUGAGAGUAAAAUGAAAUUUGCAGCACUUUGCAUGGGUCUGUCACACUCAGCUGGUGGACAUAACCUGAAUGCUCUGGAUUAUAUAUUUAUAACUUCAUUUUCUUGCAAGACCAUGUGGCUGUAGACUGGCUAAGCAGCCUGGUUUGAAAACUGUGACUGGCCCAACUAACAAAGUCAUUCUUUACACAUCUAGACAUCAAGGACUGAGAAAUUUGAGAAUUUGAGAAUAUGGGUCGUUGUGAUUAUUUUUUUGUCCCACCAGGCCCGGUCAUGCCACAGAAAAUGGUGAGAUAACAAGUAGAGGGAAACAGACAGGAAGGCUUGACAAGGGUUAAGCAGCAGCAAUGAAAAGCUCACUGGGAUUACAAGCAUUCAGAUGAGCUGCAGAAGGAGAAUUGUUUAGUUGUGAGAAGGCAGAAAUGGAGGAGAGAGCAGGCAUGUGGGAGAGGAAGUUGCCUUGAUCACAGGAUUUCCGUCACUCUCCGCUGCAAGAGCAUGCAUGGGUGGAGCAAGCAGUGAAGCACAUCCCUGGCCUACAGAAGUUACAGAAGAUGCUUCAGACCAGCCUUUUAGUUAUCAGAAAUAUUAUUUCAAGCUCUGUAAAGACAAUAAACACAAUGAUAUUAACACAUUGUUUUAAUGUCAGGUUUAUGCAAUCCAAGGCUUUAGAAGAAACCUUUGAGAUUCUACAACUGUUGAACGGCUUUGUUAGGGAGCACAAAAUGUUCUUUUCUCUUAACGUGUGGGGCCACUUUAAAUUUGUGCUUCUGCAUUAUUAAACCAUCGUGGGAAGUGCAGCAGGAGGAAACCCGGGUAAUUGGCUGCAGCUCCAGAUGCAGCCGCUCGCUCAUUGGAGAGAGGAGGAUUCUCCCCGUACUAAAAUUAGAGCAUCUCCGCCCUCCAGAAAUGCUUCUGGAAACAGCGAGCGGGAGGAAUUGUGACACAGCCCGAGGAGCCGUGGUGGGCAGGGAGCUGUGCAGGGCCCUGCUCCCAAACUGCAGCCUCGGGCUGCACUGGAAGGUGCUUUGGGUGGCUGGAAAAAAACAUGCACACAGUGAAGAAACUGCGAGAGAUUCACGUUAACACUGAAACACGGAUAUUAAAUUCAACAUUACUUAUGUAAUAAUAAUUCUGAAGUGUUCAUGCAGGCAGAGGAAGCCUUUGAACUGCUAAAUUUAAGCAAGGGCUGUCAGACUUGUGCUCAUUGACUGAAAAGAUAUGACUUCCUGAAUUAACUCUGAACUAAGCUAAAAAAACUGGUGGACUCUUUCUAUCAGCAUUUCUUUAAAAAUAAAACAUGUUUAUCCAUUAUCUCUGUGAAGUUGCAGUGUUUACAAUGCUUUCAAAUGAAAUAUUGGAUACGGUUAAAGAAACAAAUGCCAUGUGCCCGUGUUGGUGAAGGAAAGCCUGUAUCUGAAUUUGUCUUGUGCACUUGGAACCUUUAUUUUUUAAGGUUAUGAAUAACAGUGUCAGUCUUUGGUUUUUAGAUAUAUUUCAAGUUGGUUGCAAGGAAAUACCUGCAUAUUUUUAUUUCUUGUUUCUAUAUUUAUAUUAUUCACAUUACUCAUGAAAAAGAUUAAGGCAAAAUGGGUUUUUCUUACACUAAAACAGGCUUUUGCUGUAAAUUUGCUAUUUCCUCACCUAACCAGGGCACAUAGUAUCAGCACCUCUGGCUCCAAAUCCUAGGGGAUUUUUUGUCUUUUCUCCUUUGCCUCUACUUUCAGUCUGAUACCAUUAAAAUUUAAAGCCUGCACACG